GCCCAGAACAGGCUGCUUGAAAGCUAAAGAAUCCGGGAUGCCAGUAGCAUGGCUCAGUCCAAAUCUAAAGGCCUGAGAACCUCAGGUAGAGGAGGAUUCUGAUGUAAUUCCUGGAGUUCAAAAGCCAAAGACUCUAGAGUUCUGAUAUCCAAGGGAGGAGAAGAAGAAUGUAUGCCAGCUCCUGGAGAUAGAGAGAGACUAAGCCAUUUCCAAGGACUUUUGGAGCUAAAGUCAAGUCACUCCAGGCUGAGUCAGCUGGUCCUUCUGCUCAGCUCCACUCUUGAUCACCUCAACUCCAACAGACAUUGAGGGUCUUCCCAGUUUUUGGGCAUCUUCUUGUAAGGGUGCAAGCAAAGUAAGUACCUGUGGCCAAAGAAUGGAAAGUCAUGAGUUCCGGGCAAGAAGUCAUCUACCAUAGAUAAGCUCUGUGGUUUAAUUCUCCCUCGUUUCAAAGGCAAGAGAUCGCAACACUGACAGAGGCAGGAAAGCACUGUGGGAAGGGAAGGAGCGUCAGACUCUGGGACGCCCUUUACAGGAUAAAAUACUUGAGGCUGAAGAAGGUAUGAUUCACCUCGGUCAUGGAACAAAGGCACAGUGAGACUACAAUCAGAUGUGUUCUGCCUGUUCAGUCAGCCACCUGAAGCUGACCCCCGGAGGUGGAGCGUUAGCAGAUGGUCUCCAAAGGCAUUUUCUGGUAAAAGACAAGCUAUGGUCCUCCACCGCAAGCUUGUUUCCAAGUCUCAGGGAUGUUCUCAGGUCCAUUAAUAAUACUCUCUUUUUUUGGUAAUAAAUUUGUAAAUUAAUACAAUAAAUCAAGUGUCUCUAUAGCUAUCCUUCAUAUGAUAUGAAAACACUAUGGUAUCUGAAAAUAGGCUCUCUCAGACACUAUGGUGAAAACUUUUAUAAGAAAAAGAAUGAAAUAAAAAUGUGACAG
rnacentral:lncRNA from 1 species